GAUGAAGAACGCAGCGAAAUGCGAUACGUAAUGUGAAUUGCAGAAUUCAGUGAAUCAUCGAGUCUUUGAACGCACAUUGCGCCCCCUGGUAUUCCGGGGGGCAUGCCUGUCCGAGCGUCAUUGCUGCCCUCAAGCCCGGCUUGUGUGUUGGGUCUCGUCCCCCUUCCCGGGGGGACGGGCCCGAAAGGCAGCGGCGGCACCGCGUCCGGUCCUCGAGCGUAUGGGGCUUUGUCACCCGCUCUGUAGGCCCGGCCGGCGCUUGCCGAUCAAACAAAACUUUUUUCCAGGUUGACCUCGGAUCAGGUAGGGAUACCCGCUGAACUUAAGCAUAUCAAUAAGCGGAGGA
rnacentral:misc_RNA from 1 species